UGGCUCAGAACGAACGCUGGCGGCAGGCCUAACACAUGCAAGUCGAGCGCCAUGGUUUCGGCCAUGGAGUGGCGCACGGGUGAGUAACGCGUGGGAACCUGCCCAAUGGUCUGGGAUAACCGCGGGAAACUGCGGCUAAUACCGGAUAAGCCCGAGAGGGGAAAGAUUUAUCGCCGAUGGAGGGGCCCGCGUCCGAUUAGGUAGUUGGUGAGGUAACGGCUCACCAAGCCGACGAGGGAAAGCUGGUCUGAGAGGAUGAACGGCCACACUGGGACUGAUUCUUCGGCCCAGACGGAUACGGGAGGCAGC
rnacentral:rRNA from 1 species